GGGGUGUAGCCAAGCGGUAAGGCAAGGGACUUUGACUCCCUGAUACGCUGGUCCGAUCCCAGCCACCCCAGCCA
rnacentral:tRNA from 1 species